CACAGCUGCAGCGGCGAAGGAGAGAGAGUUAGCUUGGGUGAAAAUAGCUUCUAGAGUCAAUGCGUAAGUUUACAUUUUAAUUACUUUUAUACAGUGUUGGGUGUAAUGAAUUAAGUUACUUAAGUCAUAUAAAUACUGUAAUUAAAUUAAAGACUAUAAAAAAAUAGUGGAUUUAAUAUCAAAUUUUUAAAAGGUAUAUUUUGAUUUGAACUUUCUCCCUCUAGUUAAACACUUUGGUCAAUUUAAGAUUAAUUCAUGCAAUUGAAUAUUGUUUAUUUGAAAGCAUUAGAGGUGCAGUUUCUUGUCUCUCCUUGUAUUGUUCAAGUGGUUGAGGUUGAUUUGGGAUUUAGAAAGUAAUUAAUAAGUAAGUAAAACAAAUUAGUAAGUAGACCAAUACUUUCUAGAGACAGUAAUUAUUACAUUAAUCUAAUUAGACUUGUUGAAGAUAAAAUUUGUAGUUAGUAAUUAAGAACUAUUUUAGAGUAACUUACCCAACUGUUAUAAUAUCAGAGGUGAAACUGGAAGAACAGUAUUUUAUUAAACCUAAUUUAGUUUUCAUGGAUAGGUGCAAUCCUGCAGGCAU